rnacentral:rRNA from 1 species
AUUGAACGCUGGCGGAAUGCUUUACACAUGCAAGUCGAACGGUAGAGGGGGCAACCCCUCGAGAGCGGCGAACGGGUGAGUAAUAUAUCGGAACGUGCCCAGUCGUGGGGGAUAACGUAGCGAAAGUUACGCUAAUACCGCAUACGAUCUAAGGAUGAAAGCGGGGGAUAGCAAGACCUCGCGCGAUUGGAGCGGCCGAUAUCAGAUUAGGUAGUGGGUGGGGUAAAGGCUCACCAAGCCAACGAUCUGUAGCUGGUCUGAGAGGACGACCAGCCACACUGGAACUGAGACACGGUCCAGACUCCUACGGGAGGCAGCAGUGGGGAAUUUUGGACAAUGGACGCAAGUCUGAUCCAGCCAUUCCGCGUGCAGGAUGAAGGCCCUCGGGUUGUAAACUGCUUUUGUACGGAACGAAAAGGUCUCUCUUAAUACGGGGGGCUCAUGACGGUACCGUAAGAAUAAGCACCGGCUAACUACGUGCCAGCCGCCGCCGUAA